AGUGCAUCAUCAUGGCAUAUGCAUCAUAUCAUCUAUGUUUUAAUAAAUAAAAUUAUUUUAUUAAGCCAAACUAUUUUGUUUUUCUCUCUCUCCAUCUCUACAUUCAAAAUUCAAAUUUGCUUGAACUAUUUUAAAACCAGUUUACAAAACAGUUUGAAAAUAAAAUUGAAAGAGUUUUUAUAAAAACAAACCCUAACCCCCUAACCUGGGCCUCUCUUUCCCUAACCUCUCUUCCCUGGCCUGUUUCCUCUCUUUCCCGGCGGCCCUUUUCUCUCCCCUUCGGCCCAACCCACCUGGCCCGAGUACCCCUUCGCAAGCACUCUAUCCCUUCUUUUUCAUCCUCGCUGGACAACGACGGGAGGGACGCACGCACAUGGCGCUGUCCUCCCUCUGUGACCACAACACCUCAACCACCACCUCCUUUUCCCCUCCCUUUAAUCCCCAUCCAAGCCAGAGCAAACCCUAGACCAUCUCCUCCCUCGCGCCGCCAUCUUCCUCCUCUUCUUCCCAUCUUACUCCUCUCUCUCUGAACAAAACGAAGGGGAAAACCCCACAGUACCUCCUCCACCUCGCCAUGGCGCCGCCGCUAUGGUCCAUCCCCCGACGAUCUGAGACCACCACCAGAAGCGCCUCAACGUCCUCUACCUCCCUCUGCGAGGAAUCGACCCACGACGCCUUGAAGCACCCGCACCGCCGCCGUUUCUUCACCAUGGCCGCCAUACUCCGGCGUCAAUUCCAGCCACCCUCGUCCUCCUCCGGCCAAACCGAGCACACCACCUCCUUCCCCGCGUCGAGCCGCACCCCCGACGCCAUCUCUCGCAUCCUGGUUCGUCCCGUCUCCGUCGUCCCUGAGCUCGUCUGCAAGUGUCCGCCAUGGCCCCUACCUCCGCUCAUUUCUGCUUCAACUUGUCACGAAGCCCAUGUUCAUCAACAACAGCAACUGUAGCCCAGUGAUCCGGCGCUUACUGGGCCUCGACCCAUUUCUCUUCGAGUGCAGCCGCCGCCCGCGCGGCCCGUAGCUUCCCGUCGCCGCGUGCACGCCAGAAGUGGGCUGGCCCACACGCGCCAGCUUUCCUCCCGCCGGCCAGCAUUUGCUUCUUCCCGGAUAGGAUCGCGAAGUGGUGUGGUAAGAUACGCCAAGUUCUCCGGAUGUCCCUCGGCAAGCUUUAACAGGCAAGCAUUUCCCCUAUACCCCUGCCCCUGCAGGAGUCGCUUACCUAUUUUAUUUUGCCUUCUCCCUCAUGCUAUCCUUAAGUUGCGUUCUUGUCACGUGUCCUUUCCACUUGUUACCUUAAGCAGCCCAUAUUGCCACCAUCACCUCCCACGGCUAUUGUUUGGUUAUCGAGUCUGCCCUUGCGAGUCGUAGUGCAUGCUAGUGCUGUCUUAUCUCGUUACCGUUAUUGUUAUCUUAUUGGGUUAUAUGUUGGGAAGAAUCAUGGUUACUUUAGUUGUUGAUAAUUGUUUUAGCAGAGGCAUCGGUGGGUCAGCUGCUCGUUUUGUGACGGCUCACUUGUGUUUCCUAAAUAUCUUAGGACCCCGAGUUCUUGUUAUCUGUUCCGAGACUGAGCGCUCUAACCACACGUGGGUAUGCUUACCGGGUCUCCCCUCGACCACUGCCGGAAUCUACAGCUUUGUCCAGUGGCCACAACUAGUUUGGAUGUUUGUUUUGUUUCUCCCGGGCGUGCAAGCUUGUUUCUUUGUGGUUAGAUGAUAUGAUGUUACUUUUGGGGAAGCUAUGUGCCUUGUAACCCCGUUGUCUCUUGCACGCUCGUAGGAUGCGGUGCCACUGCGAAGUGGUCAUCCCGCUGGGCACUGUCCACCUAGCACGCAGUCGCAAUAGCUGAGUCCGCUUCGGAGUUUCGAUCGGGCUCUGAAACGGGUUAAACUUAGUUAGGUGGCUUCCUGGACAUUGUUGUAGUGAAGGAGAGUGCGUGUCGUGAUAUCCACCUGUCGUAAGUGGGUUGAUCGUGCGUGUGGGCACAUUUGGGCACCCCUGCAGGGUUACAAUCUUAUCGAUAAGCCGCGUCCGCGGUUAUGGACGACUUGGAGCUGUAUGACUCGACCAUAGACAACUUACACCUGUUAAUUCAAUCAUAAUAACUUGUGUAGUAAGUUAGUACAAUUUCUAUAAUAAAUGGUUAAAAUUUGAAAAUCGUGUGAGUGCCUUUGUAAGUACUUCUUUGCGAAGGGGGAACACACCGGCUGUGUUAUGUUUGCAGAGUAUAGAACUGUUAGUUUGUGCGCUCUCUCACCUUCUCUGAAUAGACGAAUGUUAUAGAGUGUCUCUAUAGGUUUUUAGUGCUUGCGCGUUGCCGCUUAACCCCACCAUUUUGCCUAUGACGUUCCUCUUGCGUCCUCUAAGUCCCCUGCGUGCCUCAAGUACAAAGGACGACUGGUUGACGAAUGCUUAUACGUCUUGAAGUCUUGUUAAGUACGAACCCGUACUUAUUGCUGCUUCUACGGGAUAUAAUCGGGCAGGUAUGAAGAUAUGUUCGAUGAAGACGACGUUAGCAAGGUUACCCUUCCGGCUUGGCCUGGGCAGGGUUAUGGACGCCACUGGUUAUCUCCAGGACUCUUAGUCCAAUUUGUAUCUUGUCCAUACUCGGACGUAUUCGAUCUUCUAUAUGAUUUGGAUCUUUGUAUGUAUCUAUUUGUAUCUUGACUCGUUGGAGUCGUUGUUGUAAUAUAUGUAUCUUCUGGGCUCUAUUGUAAUCCUGUUGUAAUGUUACCGCUCGUGUUAA